AACCUCCGCAAUGUGAGAAAUCGCGACGGGGGGAUCCCAAGUGCCAUUCUUAACGGGAUGGCUUUUCAUUAGUGUAAAGAGCUUUUGGAAUAAGAGCUGGGCAAGACCGGUGCCAGCCGCCGCGGUAACACCGGCAGCUCUAGUGGUAACAAUUUUUAUUGGGCCUAAAGCGUCCGUAGCCGGUUUAAUAAGUCUCUGGUGAAAUCCUGUAGCUUAACUGUGGGAAUUGCUGGAGAUACUAUUAGACUUGAGACCGGGAGAGGUUAGAGGUACUCCCAGGGUAGAGGUGAAAUUCUGUAAUCCUGGGAGGACCGCCUGUUGCGAAGGCGUCUAACUGGAACGGUUCUGACGGUGAGGGACGAAAGUUAGGGGCGCGAACCGGAUUAGAUACCCGGGUAGUCCUAACUGUAACGAUGCGGACUUGGUGUUGGGGUGGCUUUGAGCUGUCUCAGUGCCGAAGGGAAGCUGUUAAGUCCGCCGCCUGGGAAGUACGGUCGCAAGACUGAAACUUAAAGGAAUU
rnacentral:rRNA from 1 species